CCGCCUCGUUCGCUCUGCGCCGCCCGCCCGAGCUGAGUAGGACGCAGUCUUCUGCUUGUGCAUUUCGCAGUCGUCGCCUCGCCGCUCCCUUUUUCCUCAACGCCACUUACACUCACCGCUACGAACACCAACAUGAACGGGCAGCUCAACGGCUUUCACGAGGCGUUCAUCGAGGAGGGCACGUUCCUCUUCACCUCAGAGUCUGUGGGGGAAGGCCACCCAGAUAAGAUUUGUGACCAGAUCAGCGAUGCUGUGCUUGAUGCCCACCUUCAGCAGGACCCUGAUGCCAAAGUGGCUUGUGAAACUGUUGCUAAAACUGGAAUGAUCCUUCUUGCUGGGGAAAUUACGUCCAGAGCUGCUGUUGACUACCAGAAAGUGGUUCGUGAAACCAUUAAACACAUUGGAUAUGAUGAUUCUUCCAAAGGGUUUGACUACAAGACUUGUAAUGUGCUGGUAGCCUUGGAGCAACAGUCACCAGAUAUUGCUCAAGGUGUUCAUCUUGACCGGAACGAGGAAGACAUUGGUGCAGGGGACCAGGGUUUGAUGUUUGGUUAUGCCACUGAUGAAACUGAGGAAUGUAUGCCUUUAACUAUUGUCUUAGCGCACAAGCUCAAUGCAAAACUGGCUGAAUUACGCCGCAAUGGCACUUUGCCUUGGUUACGCCCAGAUUCUAAAACUCAAGUGACUGUGCAGUACAUGCAGGAUCGAGGUGCUGUGCUUCCCAUCAGAGUCCACACAAUUGUUAUAUCUGUUCAGCAUGAUGAAGAGGUUUGUCUUGAUGAGAUGAGGGAUGCUCUAAAGGAGAAAGUCAUCAAAGCAGUUGUACCUGCAAAAUACCUUGAUGAGGAUACAAUCUAUCAUCUACAGCCAAGUGGCAGAUUUGUUAUUGGUGGGCCUCAGGGUGAUGCUGGUUUGACUGGCCGGAAAAUCAUUGUGGACACUUACGGCGGUUGGGGAGCUCAUGGAGGAGGUGCCUUUUCAGGAAAAGAUUAUACCAAGGUGGACCGUUCAGCUGCUUAUGCUGCCCGUUGGGUGGCAAAAUCCCUUGUUAAAGGAGGUCUGUGCAGAAGGGUUCUUGUUCAGGUCUCUUAUGCUAUUGGAGUUUCUCAUCCAUUGUCUAUCUCCAUUUUCCAUUAUGGCACCUCUCAGAAGAGUGAGAGAGAGCUAUUAGAGAUUGUGAAGAAGAAUUUUGACCUCCGCCCUGGGGUCAUUGUCAGCACUAAGAAGAACAUCCCAAGAUUUGAUCUGUUUGUCCAGCACUGCCUGUUUGGCUGAUGCAAUUGCCAAGAUCCAUGUGUCCUUACUGCAGCAGCCACUCAACUGCCAGUUAAUGUUUUAAAAUUGUCCAAGAUUAAGAACAAAACGUGGAGGGAAUGGUUAAUGGUCCUAUGACUGGUUGCUCCCACAUCUGUACCCACCAUCUGCCCCCAUCAGAACUCUGAGUGGACAGGGUCAGAAUUUGGCUCAGGAGGAUCAGAAUUUGAAGAAUCUGUGUUUGAAUGACUCGACUCUCCAAUUGGCUCAAAGGGUCGCAAGUUUGCCAAAAUACCUGCAUUUUUUCUCCCUCCUGAAGAGUCUGAUUCUUCUGUUCUGCCAUCAGCUCGACAAUCACCUCCCCCUGUAGCAGCUGAAUGCUAGUAUUGCCCAGGUCUUCACUCACAAAAUUCUCCAGGUGCAGCCCUGCCAGGGGCAACAGAGUUCCCCAUCCCAUCCUAUGGAAGAUGAAAUCACUCCCAGCCAGAACAGAGACAUCACACCUUUACCACUACCACCCCUCAGGUUUCAAGAACACCCCUCCCACCAGGAAUGCCCCUCCCCCCUCUAUCACAUGCAGUGUCCCCGGCCAAGGAAGCCACAAGAAAAGACAGCAAAGCUUUCUCUGCUUUCCUCCAUACCAGGGAAAUCUGCAAUGAAGACCACCUCAGUGUGGUUGUCCAGGCUGCUCUUGAUUUCUUGUAACUUGGUCCUCCAGGGAGACAAGUCCAUCAACAGUGGCUGCAGCCAAGGUGUACGCUGGAAGGGGGACCAGGCGGCUUGCACGAUGUCCACACGAGGAUCAAAAAUCCUUAGGAAAGAAAACCAUGUUCUAAGGAGACCACAGCCACCUACCCAUCGGAAUUUCUGGUUCUGUUUCUUUCAUCACUGUUCCCACAUAGAGGGAACAGGGUUUCCAGAUAGAAGAAAUGGCUUUUGUCAGCAUGUUAUUGCCAUUCUGGGGCAGAGAGAGAAAGGAAAGAGAUUCUGGAGCACAGGGGAAGAAUGGGGGUUAGUGGCCACCUGAGAAUUGCGUUAACAGCUUCUUAAAGAAAAAAAAAAAAAAAAAAAGUCAGUUACCUUUUCUUCUGGUUGAUGGUGCCCCCUGCUGGAAGCAAUCAGCUAUGCCCACAACCAGGUGAACAGGGACAUGAACCAGAGGACAGCCUUUCAAGCAAGACAACACUGGGGAGCAUGGGCUAUUCAUCUCGGCAAAAGGAGUGGGACUUCAUUUUUCCCCUUCUCUGUUCCCCUUGCCCACCUCUGUUGGAAGCGGUCAUUGAUGGAGACCCAAAUAUCAAAGUAGAUCUGGGGCUCAGUGACAUUGUACUUGGGAAGCAGGUGGCUCAGGCAAGUGGCAUAUUGCUUCAGCAUGUCUGCGUGAUCCUUCCAUCGCCGGCUCUGUGUGAAUACCUGCCCCAAACCCCCACAUUAGUCCCACCUCAUCGUUAUCAACCUCCCAGAAAGAUCAUGCACAGCCAAUGGCACUAAGAGAUCCCUGCCUGGUGCCUGCUUUGACCAGGAAAAAAAAACCCUGAACUUGUCUUUGGGGAAGAAUUUUUCAUUGCUGGGCUUUUUAAUACUUAUUUCCUAAACCUAGUUUCAAUUCCAAGAAAGUGAAUGGCACUGUCCUAUUUCAACUUCGACAAAAGCAGAGUCAACCUGGCUCCUGAGAAAGGGCAGAGCAGACCCAAAUGUGUUUUAUAAUUAUGUUUAGGAUCAAACCAGACCCCGAGGCUCCAGGAAGCUCUGAAGAAGUGUAAGCCGUCAACAUCAGGUGGCUCACCCCAGGGUUCAGGUAGCCCAGCUCGCCGGUGCGGCCGUCCCGGUAGGUGAUCUUCACGUGCUGGUGGGAGCGCGAGUGCACCAUCAUGUCCCAGGAAUAGCCGUACAGCCCAUUUGUCCAGUUGUUAUAGCCCUGAGAAGGCAGGGCAGAGGCAAUCAGCCCGCUGUUCUCGUAUUAUCCCCAUGCCCCGCCAACACAGGGCUGCAAAACCAGCCCCACACCUUCCCUAAUGCUGUGCCCUCUGCCACCUCCCAAGCUAACCCCCAGGCCACACACACCUGGGUGAGGAAAUGGGAAUAGGGCAGGAAGAGCUGCUCCAGGAGGUAGAGCAGGGUGAAGGCAGCACCGAGCUGGUGGCGCAGCCCUGGCUUCUGGCCACCCUUGGCCCGGCUCCUCUUAUACACGCAGGACUCGCUGGGCUGAGGGGCAGCCUUGAGGGGCAGUAGUUCCUGCAGCCUUUCGGGGAAGCGAGAUACUAGCUUCCGGGGCCACUCAGGGGAGCAGAAGAGAGGGCUGCUGGCCAGCAUGACGUAGGGGAACAUUCCUAGAGAAGGAGGGAGGAAAUAAGCGUUUCAGGAGUUUGGCUGGGGGGGAGCCUGGGUAAUCCCUCAAGCCCUCUCCUUUAGGAAGCCUCUCCCAGGUAUUCCGCUUGUGAUGAGAGCAGCUCGUAACUAGAGGCGUCUUACUUCCCCGAGACUCCUUACUCCGCAACAUACUGGCUGAGCCCAGAGGCCCCAGUCCUCUCCUCCCGUUGACUGCCAUUUCAGUGACUGCACCUGGCUCAACGCAGCUCCAGCUGCCACCGCCAUGUCCCACUCCCCGCACACCUGUGGCUUCCCACCUCCUACCAGACCACCGGUACUGACCAAUGCUGAAGAGCUGGGAAUUCAUGCAGUGGAAGUAGGACACGAAGAGGAGGCCAAUGGACCUCGAGGCAUCAAAAAAGAGCAGGAAACCAGCUGAGAGGUCGAGCAGCAGUCCGCACCAGUGCACCACUAGCAGACUGGUCAUCUCCUCGGACAAUACCAGUCUGCAGACACCAGAGACAGAGGUCAGGCACCGGCCCACUGCAGAACCCAGCAUUCACAGCACAUUCGCGGCCAAUGCGCCCCUGCUCACCCUGUCCUUGCCAAAGGAAGCACCCUAGCAGGUGCGCACAAGAACUCUACAUGAAGACACCCUAUGUUUUUUCCCUUCAUUCUGGGCCCUACCACACGUCUCCUAGAUACUCUGCUAAGACUGACUCCGCCUUCUGCUAAAGAGAAAGAUGAGCGGACAGAGGAAAGCAUGUGGCCAACUGAGGCAAAGCAGGACCAGGAGCUGUCCCUGCAGACCUGAGGCAGGCGAGUUCCCCGCUGUGUACCAGUGCCACAGCAAGAGAGCUCUGCUCUGCCUGCCACUCACUUGAAGGGACCGAAGAGCCAGUGCCGGGACAGAUAUUCCAUGGAAUAGCCCUCAACCCAGUCCGCGUCCAGCUUCUUCACACCCGCAAUGAAGUACACGAUGAAGAUCUGCAAGCGCAAAACGCAAAGUGAAUGUUCAAACACAAAAGAACAUGGUUUUCUACAGACUAUCACAAAUGACCUAAGUCCUGAUCUGAGUUCAGGGCCUAAAGAAGAUUUUGAUUCAUUCAGUUCACUCAUCUGAGGUCUUCACUCAUCCAACAAGUAUUUAGGGCCAUUCUGCCAAUGCCAGGCACAGUAUUCGGUCCCAAGGGAAGUCAUGAAGCACAGAUCUCUCUUAAGGAUGCUCAUCUAGGGGCGCUGGGUGGCUCAGUCAUUAAGCGUCUGCCUUCGGCUCAGGUCAUAAUCCCAGGGUCCUGGGAUCCAGCCCUGCAUCGGGCUCCCUGCUCGGCGGGAAGCCUGCUUUUCCCUCUCCCUCUCCCCCUGCGUGUGUUCCUGCUCUUGCUAUCUCUCUGUCAAGCAAAUAAAUAAAAUCUUUAAAAAAAAAAA